rnacentral:lncRNA from 1 species
CAGGGACAAGGAAACCUCCAGCCCACAAGGCAAGCGGAAUCAGAGUGACUCAUGGACCUGUGUGGUGUAGGAACAGAUCAGCUUUGUUAAAGAAGAAGCCCAGGAUACUACAAAAAGUGAAGCCGCA